rnacentral:rRNA from 1 species
AUUGAACGCUGGCGGCAAGCCUAACACAUGCAAGUCGAACGAGUGGCGGACGGGUGGGUAAUGUCUGGGAAACUGCCUGAUGGAGUGGGAUAACUACUGGAAACGGUAGCUAAUACCGCAUACCAUCGGAUGUGCCCAGAUGGGAUUAGCUAGUAGGUGGGGUAAAGGCUCACGUAGGCGACGGUCCCUAGCUGGUCUGAGAGGAUGACGAGCCACACGGGAACGUAGACACGGUCCAGACUCGUACGGGAGGCAGCAGUGGGGAAUAUUGCACAAUGGGCGCAAGCAUGAUGCAGCCAUGACGCGUGUAGGAAGAAGGCCUUCGGGUUGUAAAGUACUUUCAGCGGGGAGGCGUUACCCGCAGAAGAAGCACCGGCUAACUCCGUGCCAGCAGCCGCGGUAAGAC